AGGGGGUACAGGUACAGAGACAAUGUGGAGGCUAUAUACAGGGGGUACUGGUACAGAGUCAAUGUGGAGGCUAUAUACAGGGGGUACUGGUACAGAGACAAUGUGGAGGCUAUAUACAAGGGGUACCGGUACAGAGUCAAUGUGGAGGCUAUAUACAGGGGGUACAGGUACAGAGUCAAUGUGGAGACUAUAUACAGGGGGUACAGGUACAGAGACAAUGUGGAGGCUAUAUACAGGGGGUACAGGUACAGAGACAAUGUGGAGGCUAUAUACAGGGGGUACAGGUACAGAGACAAUGUGGAGGCUAUAUACAGGGGGUACAGGUACAGAGUCAAUGUGGAGGCUAUAUACAGGGGGUACAGGCACAGAG
ensembl:lncRNA